rnacentral:rRNA from 1 species
ACCAUCCAGAGAACUUAGCAGAGAUGCUUUGGUGCCUUCGGGAACUCUGAGACAGGUGCUGCAUGGCUGUCGUCAGCUCGUGUUGUGAAAUUGUUGGGUUAAGUCCCGCAACGAGCGCAACCCUUAUCCUUUGUUGCCAGCGGUUCGGCCGGGAACUCAAAGGAGACUGCCGGUGAUAAACCGGAGGAAGGUGGGGAUGACGUCAAGUCAUCAUGGCCCUUACGGCCAGGGCUACACACGUGCUACAAUGGCGCAUACAAAGAGAAGCGACCUCGCGAGAGCAAGCGGACCUCAUAAAGUGCGUCGUAGUCCGGAUUGGAGUCUGCAACUCGACUCCAUGAAGUCGGAAUCGCUAGUAAUCGUAGAUCAGAAUGCUACGGUGAAUACGUUCCCGGGCCUUGUACACACCGCCCGUCACACCAUGGGAGUGGGUUGCAAAAGAAGUAGGUAGCUUAACCUUCGGGAGGGCGCUUACCACUUUGUGAUUCAUGACUGGGGUGAAGUCGUAACAAGGUAAGCGUAGCGAG